rnacentral:rRNA from 1 species
UACGUAGGGUGCAAGCGUUAAUCGGAAUUACUGGGCGUAAAGCGUGCGCAGGCGGUUUGUUAAGUCUGCUGUGAAAUCCCCGAGCUCAACUUGGGAAUUGCAGUGGAUACUGGCAGGCUGGAGUAUGGUAGAGGAAGGUGGAAUUCCCGGUGUAGCGGUGAAAUGCGUAGAUAUCGGAAGGAACACCUGUGGCGAAAGCGGCUCACUGGACCAUAACUGACGCUGAGGCGCGAAAGCUAGGGGAGCAAACAGG